rnacentral:lncRNA from 1 species
UUUCCAAUAGACCCCCGGUUUAGGACCAUUAAUAGUAUAACAAACACAAAACAUAGAUGUAUAUAAAGUAGUACAAUAUGUAAAAUAAACUAACACCGCUAGCCACAAGAUAAUACUACAACUACAAGAAAAUACUAAAACUAUCUAUCUGAAACCACAAACAAUCACUCAACACCAUGAACAAGAAACUUCCGACACAAAUAAAGAACGUUCCCUUACAAUUACCGACGCACUCCCACCCCCUAAACCUCAACCCUAAUUUGUGUCCUCCACAACUUCCUAUCAAGGGUCAUGUCCUCCCUAAGUUGUAACUGCUCCAUAUCCUGCCUAAUUACCUCCCUCCAAUAUUUCUUCGGCCUACCUCUACCCCGCCUAAAAUCAUUCAUUGUCAGUGUCUCACACCUCUACACUGGAGCAUCAGAAACCCCCCUCAUCACGUUCCCGAACCAAUGCAAACUCACUUUCCACAUCUUGUCAUCCACCAAAGCCACUCCUACCUUCUCCCGAAUAAUCUCAUUCUUCACCCUAUUUUUCCUGGUAUGACCAUAUAUCCAUCGCAACAUCCUCAUCUCUUCCACCUUCAACUUUUGAAUGUGGGAGUUCUUAACUGGCUAACACUCUGCUCCAUACAACAUAAUCGGUCAGACUGUGACUCUGUAGAACUUACCUUUAAGCUUCGGGGGCACCUUCCUAUCGCAUAGAACUCCCGAAACGAACCUCCAUUUCAACUAUCCCGCCACAAUAUGAUGCAUGACAUCUCCGUCAAUCUCACCAUUUCCCUAAAUCAUUGACCCAAGAUACUUGAAACUCUUCUUCUUCUGAAUGACCUGAGAGUCCAGCUUUACCACCACGGUAGCCUCCUGCGACACAUCACUAAACUUACACUCUAUGUACUCUAUCUUGGUCCUGCUCAAUCGAAAAUCUUUACACUCAAGGGUUUGUCUCCAAAUCUACAACUUAUCAUUGACUCCUCCUCGAGUCUCAUCAAUCAAUACCACAUCAUCAAAAAAUAACAUACACCAAGGCACCUUCCCUUGAAUACGCCGCGUCAAAACAUCCAUCACUAAUUCAAAUAAAAAAGGACUAAGAGUCGACCCCUGGUGCAACC